rnacentral:rRNA from 1 species
UACGGAGGGGGCUAGCGUUGUUCGGAAUUACUGGGCGUAAAGCGCGCGUAGGCGGACCUGCAAGUCGGGGGUGAAAGCCCGAGGCUCAACCUCGGAACUGCCUUCGAUACUGCGGGUCUCGAGUCCGGGAGAGGUGAGUGGAAUUCCUAGUGUAGAGGUGAAAUUCGUAGAUAUUAGGAAGAACACCAGUGGCGAAGGCGGCUCACUGGCCCGGUACUGACGCCUGAGGCG